GGGCAUACAUUGUGGGAGCCAAGGCUUUUGUUAAUGGAAGGGAAAUUCGCGCUGGCGCCUAGCUUGAUGACUACUGGAUUUACCAAGUCACCAGUCUGCUCGUUAUGGCGCACACCUGUCACCAUCGUAACGUGUAAUUGCGCAUUAUGACACUCACCUGGACUCCAUCACCUCCUUGAUUACCUGCCCUAUAAUUGUCACUCCAUUUAGGUUCCUUCCCCAUUCGUCAUUGUAUCUGUUCCUGUUUCAUGUCGGUGCAUUUUGUGUGUUUUUUUAAAUCCAUUUAUUUAUUAAACGUAUUCACUCCCUGAACUUGCUUCCCGACUUAGCGUACAUCGUUACAGAUAUCCGAUAUUUUCCUUGCCAAAAAAAACUAUACCGAUAUUAAAAAUCUUGGCGACCU